AUUUGUGAAGUUGCUUUAAGUACUAAUAAGCAAUGUACAAAAUGUUUGAAAUAUUUUACAUUAUCCUAUCUUUAUAAGAAAUGCAGUUAUUUUCAUAUUUUAAAAAUAAACAAACAGCAUAAAAACAUGUGUGAUAACAAUUGGAUACAUUUAGCAAGUCUUGAAGAAAAUGUGCAAGCAACAAUUAGACUUGUUGUUAAUACUGAUGGAAUUCCUGUUUUUAAAUUAUCAAAGUGGACCUUGUGGCCUUUGCUAGCAUCCAUUCAUAAUUUUCCAUAUUCAUUGCAAAUUACUAAUAUUUUGUUUUUUGGUUUCUGGUCCAGUUUUAAAAAACCAAACGUGCAAUUACUUUUAUCUUGUUUUGUUGAUUUUUUACUAACCUAUCCACUACUGGUAGUUUAAUGAUUAUAAUGGUUGCCAUUGGUGUUCUUCUCAAGGAGUAAGAGUUAAAAAAAGGUAGGAGGUCUUGUAUGACUUAUCCAUUUUCUGAUGUUAAUGGGAGUUGUAGAAACCAUACAGAUUUUUUUUGGAUUAAUGUGAUUAAAGGGUUUUUAGAUUUUUAUACAUUUGUAAGAGUACCUAAUUUUAAUUGUGAAAAUGGAACAGUUGUUAAUAAUCUGCACUGUAUUGAGCUUGGUGUUAUGAAAGCUAUGUUUUCUUUCUGAUUUGAUAGUUAUUAUUCUGGUUAUAUUUUUUCUAUUAGAAGACACUGUACUGUUGUAAAUAAUCUUUUAUCUGCAAUCAGUGUGCCAAGCAAUAUAAGACAGACUCGAUGAUCAUUAAGUUGUAUAAAGCAUUGGAAAGCUUUAAAGACCCAAACGAAAAUACUUUUAAAGUCAAUUUUCGCAAUUCUGUUUGUUUUGUUGUGCUAAUUUGUCAGUAGAGAACCAACAGACCACUGACUUCAUAAUUUUUCCAUCUAAAAUUAUACUAAAAUAUCCUAAUAAAUACAAUUUGAAUUAGAUGAUAUAAGUUAUCAGAGAAAGUAAACAAAGUACACUUAUUCGGAAUAAAAAAUGUAACUACUGCCAUUUGGUUCUCGACUUUUUUGAAAUGGGCUAAAAAACAUGCUUAAGCAUCAUAUUGCCUAUAAGAUAUACUUACUGCAAUAUUUUUCUUUUUCACUAAUAUACAGGUUUAAGUUUUGCUUUAUAAUGACUAUUAUGUUUUUUACAGAUUUAAAUAUCUAUAUCAGUACAGAAAAGUAGAGCUGUAUGAUUUUUUGUUUUGUUGAUUUAAACAGUUGAAAA